rnacentral:misc_RNA from 1 species
GAUGAAGAACGCAGCGAAAUGCGAUAAGUAAUGUGAAUUGCAGAAUUCAGUGAAUCAUCGAAUCUUUGAACGCACAUUGCGCCCCCUGGUAUUCCGGGGGGCAUGCCUGUUCGAGCGUCAUUUGACCACUCAAGCCUCGCUUGGUAUUGGGCAACGCGGUCCGCCGCGUGCCUCAAAUCGACCGGCUGGGUCUUCUGUCCCCUAAGCGUUGUGGAAACUAUUCGCUAAAGGGUGUUCGGGAGGCUACGCCGUAAAACAACCCCAUUUCUAAGGUUGACCUCGGAUCAGGUAGGGAUACCCGCUGAACUUAAGCAUAUCAAUAAGCGGAGGA